rnacentral:pre_miRNA from 13 species
AGUUUAGCAGGUCUUGUGACCUCGGUGGUUUCUUGCCGCGGUGAUAUGCACAUUCACUUCCAUAAUUGAUAUCACCGGGUGAAAAAUCACCAAGGUCGACGAUUCUGUU